rnacentral:rRNA from 1 species
GAUUCUGGCUCAGGAUGAACGCUAGCUACAGGCUUAACACAUGCAAGUCGAGGGGCAGCAUUGGAGUAGCAAUACUCAGAUGGCGACCGGCGCACGGGUGAGUAACACGUAUCCAACCUGCCGCUUACUCGGGGAUAGCCUUUCGAAAGAAAGAUUAAUACCCGAUGGUAUAAAGAGUUCGCAUGUUCUCUUUAUUAAAGAAUUUCGGUAAGCGAUGGGGAUGCGUUCCAUUAGAUAGUUGGCGGGGUAACGGCCCACCAAGUCUACGAUGGAUAGGGGUUCUGAGAGGAAGGUCCCCCACAUUGGAACUGAGACACGGUCCAAACUCCUACGGGAGGCAGCAGUGAGGAAUAUUGGUCAAUGGACGAGAGUCUGAACCAGCCAAAGUAGCGUGAAGGAUGACUGCCCUAUGGGUUGUAAACUUCUUUUAUAAGGGAAUAAAGUGAGGGACGUGUCCCUUUUUGUAUGUACCUUAUGAAUAAGGAUCGGCUAACUCCGUGCCAGCCGCCGC